CAGCCGCCGCGGUAAUACAGAGGAUGCAAGCGUUAUCCGUAAUCACUGGGCAUAAAGCGUCUGUAGGUGGUUUGGUAAGUCUGCUGUUAAAGACUGGGGCUCAACCCCAGAAAAGCAGUGGAAACUGCCAGACUUGAGUGUGGUAGAGGUAGAGGGAAUUCCUAGUGUAGCGGUGAAAUGCGUAGAUAUUAGGAAGAACACCAAUGGCGAAGGCACUCUACUGGACCAUAACUGACACUGAGAGACGACAGCUAGGGGAGCAAAUGGGAUUAGAUACCCCAGUAGUCCUAGCCGUAAACGAUGGAUACUAGAUGUUGCACGUAUUAACCCGUGCAGUAUCGUAGCUAAGGCGUUAAGUAUCCCGCCCGGGAAGUACGCUCGCAAGAGUGAAACUCAAAGGAAUUGACGG
rnacentral:rRNA from 1 species